rnacentral:rRNA from 1 species
CCUACGGGGGACAGCAGUGAGGAAUAUUGGUCAAUGGACGCAAGUCUGAACCAGCCAUGCCGCGUGCAGGAUGACGGCUCUAUGAGUUGUAAACUGCUUUUGUCCGAGGGUAAACCCCGAUACGUGUGUCUCGUUGAGAGUAUCCUACGAAUAAGGAUCGGCUAACUCCGUGCCAGCAGCCGCGGUAAUACGGAGGAUCCGAGCGUUAUCCGGAUUUAUUGGGUUUAAAGGGUGCGUAGGCGGUUUGAUGGGUUAGAGGUGAAAUGUCGGGGCUCAACCCCGAAACUGCCUCUAAUACUGUAGGACUAGAGAAUAGUUGCGGUAGGCGGAAUGUAUGGUGUAGCGGUGAAAUGCUUAGAGAUCAUACAGAACACCGAUUGCGAAGGCAGCUUACCAAACUAUAUCUGACGUUGAGGCACGAAAGCGUGGGUAGCAAACAGGAUUAGAUACCCGUGUAGUC